rnacentral:rRNA from 1 species
UACAGAGGUCUCGAGCGUUAGGCGGAAUCACUGGGCUUAAAGCGUGUGUAGGCGGGUCGGUAAGUGCCUUGUGAAAUCCCAUGGCUCAACCAUGGAACUGCUGGGCAUACUGGCGAUCUUGUGCCACCUAGGGGCGAGCGGAACAGAUGGUGGAGCGGUGAAAUGCGUAGAUAUCAUCUGGAACGCCAAUGGUGAAAACAGCUCGCUGGGGGUGUGCAGACGCUGAGACACGAAAGCCAGGGGAGCGAACGGG